CAAUAGCGUAUAUUAAAGUUGUUGCAGUUAAAAGCUCGUAGUUGGAUUUCUGGCUGGAGCGAUCGGUCCGCCCCGCAAGGGGUGUGUACUAGCGUCGUCUCCGACCAUCCUUGUGGGAACUGUGCGGCCGUUAACUCGGUUGUAUAUGGGAACACAUCGUUUACUGUGAAAAAUUAGAGUGUUCAAAGCAGGCCUUCGCUGUGAAUACAUUAGCAUGGAAUAAUAAGAUAGGACUGUAGUGCUAUUUUGUUGGUUUGCGUACUAUGGUAAUGAUUAAUAGGGAUAGUUGGGGGUAUUCAUAUUCAAUUGUCAGAGGUGAAAUUCUUGGAUUUAUGGAAGAUGAACUACUGCGAAAGCAUUUACCAAGGAUGUUUUCAUUAAUCAAGAACGAAAGUUAGGGGAUCGAAGAUGAUCGAUACCAU
rnacentral:rRNA from 1 species